GGGGACGUAGCUCAGAUGGGAGAGCGCCUGCUUUGCAAGCAGGAGGUCGCCGGUUCGAUCCCGGUCGUCUCCA
rnacentral:tRNA from 1 species